rnacentral:misc_RNA from 1 species
CCGAGUGAGGGCCCUCUGGGUCCAACCUCCCACCCAUGUUUAUUGUACCUUGUUGCUUCGGCGGGCCCGCCGAAGACACCUAGAACUCUGUCUGAAGAUUGCAGUCUGAGUGAAAAUAUAAAUUAUUUA